rnacentral:rRNA from 1 species
AGUGAACGCUGGCGGUAGGCCUAACACAUGCAAGUCGAACGGCAGCACAGUAAGAGCUUGCUCUUACGGGUGGCGAGUGGCGGACGGGUGAGGAAUACAUCGGAAUCUACUUUUUCGUGGGGGAUAACGUAGGGAAACUUACGCUAAUACCGCAUACGACCUACGGGUGAAAGCAGGGGAUCUUCGGACCUUGCGCGAUUGAAUGAGCCGAUGUCGGAUUAGCUAGUUGGCGGGGUAAAGGCCCACCAAGGCGACGAUCCGUAGCUGGUCUGAGAGGAUGAUCAUCCACACUGGAACUGAGACACGGUCCAGACUCCUACGGGAGGCAGCAGUGGGGAAUAUUGGACAAUGGGCGCAAGCCUGAUCCAGCCAUACCGCGUGGGUGAAGAAGGCCUUCGGGUUGUAAAGCCCUUUUGUUGGGAAAGAAAAGCAGCAGGUUAAUACCCCGCUGCUCUGACGGUACCCAAAGAAUAAGCACCGGCUAACUUCGUG